rnacentral:rRNA from 1 species
GACGAACGCUGGCGGCGUGCUUAACACAUGCAAGUCGAACGGAAAGGCCCUGCUUUUGUGGGGUGCUCGAGUGGCGAACGGGUGAGUAACACGUGAGUAACCUGCCCUUGACUUUGGGAUAACUUCAGGAAACUGGGGCUAAUACCGGAUAGGAGCUCCUGCUGCAUGGUGGGGGUUGGAAAGUUUCGGCGGUUGGAGAUGGACUCGCGGCUUAUCAGCUUGUUGGUGGGGUAGUGGCUUACCAAGGCUUUGACGGGUAGCCGGCCUGAGAGGGUGACCGGCCACAUUGGGACUGAGAUACGGCCCAGACUCCUACGGGAGGCAGCAGUGGGGAAUAUUGCACAAUGGGCGGAAGCCUGAUGCAGCAACGCCGCGUGCGGGAUGACGGCCUUCGGGUUGUAAACCGCUUUCGCCUGUGACGAAGCGUGAGUGACGGUAAUGGGUAAAGAAGCACCGGCUAACUACG